CCCAACCGCUCGCCCCCCCUUGAAAAUUUCUGGUAUACGCACUAGUGUAUUACGUGCGCUAAUGCCCGAGUAAUGACUUGAUUAAUGAUGGCCCAGCUGAUUUAUCCUGUAACUAGUACGCAUCAGACCCAGCCCAGUAGCCCAUGUACGAUCGUGGCCUGCCUCAUGUGUGUAAUUGUUUUGCUGGUCUAGGCCAGGUCCUAGCCCUAAUGCUAUCGAUCAGAUCAAUCGAACGUGCGCCUGACUGUAGAUGGCCGCCGCCGCCGCCGCCGUCGCUCACGACAACGCUAUACAGCUACGCGCCAGGAGGCCAGCCUAUGGAUACAAGCAGGGCAUUGCCGCAUUGCCAUCAGCCACAUAAGGAAGCUCUGCCCUUUCGUUCUUGUGUCUCCUCCAACCGUCAUCACCGGCUCAUCCCAAUGAAGCAGUUGUUGCUUCUCGGUCAGUAUCAAAUCCUAUACUAUCCAGUCCCAUGACUCAUAUUGUCAUAGCUAGACCAAAUUUAAAGGUAUAUCCAACAUACAACUAGACUAUGCAAAUUACUAGGUAAUGUUAUUGUUACAUUUCUUACUACAAUAUUUGAAGUUAUAUAACAACUAUACGUCAAGAUAAAGUUCUAAUAUUUA